GACGAACGCUGGCGGCGUGCUUAACACAUGCAAGUCGAGCGGUAAGGCCCUUUCGGGGGUACACGAGCGGCGAACGGGUGAGUAACACGUGGGUGACCUGCCCUCAGCUCUGGGAUAAGCCUGGGAAACCGGGUCUAAUACUGGAUAUGACUCCAUGACGCAUGUUGGUGGGGUGGGAAAGCCUUGUGCGGCUGAGGAUGGGCCCGCGGCCUAUCAGCUUGUUGGUGGGGUGAGGCCUACCAAGGCGACGACGGGUAGCCGGCCUGAGAGGGCGACCGGCCACACUGGGACUGAGACA
rnacentral:rRNA from 1 species